GACGAACGCUGGCGGCGUGCUUAACACAUGCAAGUCGAACGGAAAGGCCCUGCUUUUGUGGGGUGCUCGAGUGGCGAACGGGUGAGUAACACGUGAGUAACCUGCCCUUGACUUUGGGAUAACUUCAGGAAACUGGGGCUAAUACCGGAUAGGAGCUCCCGCUGCAUGGUGGGGGUUGGAAUGUUUCGGCGGUUGGGGAUGGACUCGCGGCUUAUCAGGUUGUUGGUGGGGUAGUGGCUUACCAAGGCUUUGACGGGUAGCCGGCCUGAGAGGGUGACCGGCCACGUUGGGACUGAGAUAGGGCCCAGACUCCUACGGGAGGCAGCGGUGGGGAAUAUUGCAGAAUGGGGGGAAGCCUGAUGCAGCGACGCCGCGUGCGGGAUGACGGCCUUCGGGUUGUAAGCCGCUUUCGCCUGUGACGAAGCGUGAGUGACGGUAAUGGGUAAAGAAGCACCGGCUAACUACGUG
rnacentral:rRNA from 1 species